GACGAACGCUGGCGGCGUGCUUAACACAUGCCAGUCGAACGGAAAGGCCCUGCUUUUGUGGGGUGCUCGAUUGGCGAACGGGUGAGUAACACGUGAGUAACCUGCCCUUGACUUUGUGAUAACUUCAGGAAACUGGGGCUAAUACCGGAUAGGAGCUCCUGCUGCAUGGUGGGGGUUGGAAAGUUUCGGCGGUUGGGGAUGGACUCGCGGCUUAUCAGCUUGUUGGUGGGGUAGUGGCUUACCAAGGCUUUGACGGGUAGCCGGCCUGGGAGGGUGAACGGGGAAAAGGGGACUGAGAGAGGGAGCAGAAGGCAACGGGAGGCAGCAGUGGGGAAUAUUGCACAAUGGGCGGAAGCGAGAGGAAGAAACGCCGCGAGCGGGAAGACGGCCUACGGGUUGUAAACCGCUUUAGAAUGUGACGAAGCGUGAGUGACGGUAAUGGGUAAAGAAGCACCGGCUAACUACGUG
rnacentral:rRNA from 1 species